rnacentral:lncRNA from 1 species
AAUCGCCGCUCUCUCAACCCAGAUGGCCCCGGCGCCCCACUAGCCAUCCGUAUCCCCAGUGCAGCUGCGGCGGCGGCGGCGAAAGCCGACGGGACGAGGGCGCCAGGAAAGAAGCAGCAGACGGAGGCGGCACCACGGCUCUGAGAAGCAAUGACAUUCCCUCUCUAGCCCGCCGCCCGCCCAGCCGAAAGGAGCAGGGGGAGGAGCCCCCUGGAGUCCGGGCGGAGCUCAAGCAACCUCUGACUCCGCCUCCGGCCCGACAGGAACUGGCCCCUCCGCCUGUCACAAAGCGACAGGUCCGUUAGGGGGCGGGCCCAGAACCGCUGCGCCCACCAAUAGGGGCGCGAGCUGGGGCGGAGCUUGACCCAACCGUCUCCCCCUCCCCCCCACCAUCCCGGCCUCGCGCCGAUUCGCCCGGAGUGGCCGAGCUGCGCGGCUACGGCUUCAUUGUCAGUUGAAAGACGCGGUUUCGCGCGCCUGUGCGGUCGGCGAGAAAGGGUACUAGGCGGCUCCGCUAGGUUCAUGGAGCUGAGCUGGGCCGAGGGGCGGGAACUGCGGAGCGGCCUCGGUCAAACUCGUCUUAAAGGACGCGGAAAGCGCCGCACCGACCAGCAGGACGCUCGCGGGCUCUCCGCGGUCGUGACUUUUAACCCGCUUUGCGCGGAGCCCUCACCACGUGACGGCCGCGCAGGCGCAUUAUCCUAGCCCUCGGCGCGUGGGUCGGGCCGAGGGGUUCAGCAGCCCGUGGCGCUCCUCGGCUGGCGCUGCGAGUGAGCCCGCGGCGGCAGUGACACAGCCUACCUUGCUCAUUGCCCUUCACGUCCCGCCUCCGGCUUCUGCGGCCGCGGGAAUCCGAGAAUGUGAGCAAAGACAAGUUUUCCGACACCGAAAACUCGUUGGAACCGGCAAGCGCGCCCCUAGCUCCGGCAGGCAAAAUGCGACCUUCUCUCGCCCUUUUUCGUUUGUACUCCGAAUUGCGAAAGUACUGUAUGUUCACUGGAAAUAUGGGAAAAUGCAGAAAUACAUUAACGGCUGCAUACAUUCCGUCGAGUGAGUGAAACUAACUUACCCUGGACGUUAAGCUGUUUCCAGUUCUCACUUUACUAAAUAAUAAUAGAACGAAGGUUCUUGUGCACGUCUACCUUGUAUUUUUAUAAUUCCUUUCCUUUCCCCACUUCCCUCCUUGUCCGCUAAAAUAAAGUGCUACCAGAUAAACUCAGGGCAAAAUGAGCUUAAACUAAGUGAGGUAGUGGGGAGACUCGAAUUGCUCUUAUAUAAACCCCAUAGAAAGUACGGAGCUUUCGGCGUAAUCGGUGCUCAGUAAAUACUUGUUCAUGUCAAUUCACAGCUAAUUGUACAUUUUAUUAGGUAAGUAACAUCUGGAUAUUAAAGGGCAUAUUAAUGUAAAACUAUAAAGGCCCUGAAUUAUUUUCUUAGGUGAUUUAAAUUUUUCUCUUUAACUACAAAUUGUGUUUCAAUAUUAAUAGAAGUCUUAAAAUAUUAGAUAAAUGAACCCUAGUUAUUUUGAGGUAGCUCCUUGAAAGUAAGGCAACUCCAGCUACCCUUUUAACCUGCUAAGUGGUUACGUUUUGUCUUGUUUCCUUAAAAAAACCAUAAAUAGUCUUAUUAAGGAAAUAAUGAAAAGGUUUCCAGAAAUAGACUUUCUCACCAACAGUUUAAUAGCCGACAUUUAUUGAACGUACACAUUUUAAUGAGAAUUAGGAUAAAAUAUUAACUGCCUCUGUUAUACAGAGAAAGAUGACAUGCUUUUCCUCAUAGCCCAAACGGUACAUGCUGAAAUGACAGCAGAGGAUUUUUGUCUGUGUUCC